CAGGAAGUGACAUCAUUGAAACUCAUUCAAAAUGGAGGGAAAACAACUCACCUUGGCUGUGGGAACGUCACCUGUGGGCUGAAAUAUCACCGUCCCUCCUCCAUCUGCUCCACGUGCUGGAGGAGCGAUCGAUGCAGCUGAUGGAUGAGGACAGCCGCUGGAGAAUAAACUACAGGGGGAUUUGAGCGGAGAGAUGAGAUUCACACGGCCUUCUGUCUCUGGAGCAUCAUCUGCCCUCAGCCGGACGUCUGGACCCUGUUACUGACCCUCAUCAUUAACACUGAUGUGUGGAGGACACGCUGACCUUCAGCUGUUUUCCAUCUCACAGGAGCAUACCGGCAGUCAGGAGGGAGAGAAAUCACAGGCCGUGUGAUGGGCUCCACUUUUAAAGCUUUACAAGAUGUUCACACGUGCACCAGGACAAAACCAGGAGAUCUCUGCAUGCACGAGGACGAUAAGUGGGACUGGCAGGCCUGGUCAACACCAGAGGGCUUGAGUUGACUCUUGGCUCUUGUGAAUCGUGAGUCGUUGAAGCGUUGCUGCAUUAAUCAUUUUUGCAUGAAGUGAUAAUGAAUCUAUCGCUCACGGGAAGAUGCUUUUAAACAUAGAGGGCUGCCAUAAAUGAAACACGCAAUAUACACAAUCCAGAGCAACAUUUAGGUUGUAGGCCUUCUACUGUGUCCACGAAUUUGCUCAAAAUUACACUUAACGCUAAUCUUUUAAAUGAUCACCUUUAUCAUAUUUAUAGAAUGAAUAAAUCAACUUUUGCUCCAGUCAGAUAUGUAACUUCCUGACGGUUUAUAGGUGAAUCUCACAAAAAGGUGCCAUGGUUAUAUCUCAGCCCUAAAAUCAAAAGACAAAAAAAGUUAUAUUUUGCAGAAAUAAGUUAUAGAGCCUUUUUCCUAGAACUAUUAACAUUUUUAUAGGUUAUAUUCUGCCCACAAAUGAGUACAAAAUUAAAUGUUCAAUUCAUAUAUAAUAAAUUUACUUGAUAAAAUAUAAACAAACCAGUCUGAUUUUUGAUCUUUUAAAAUAUUUACUUUUUCAUAUUAAUAAAACCAGCCUUUUUGCACCAGUCUGGUUUCUAGGUAAAUUUCACCCCAG
ensembl:lncRNA